AUACGAAGGGGGCUAGCGUUGUUCGGAAUUACUGGGCGUAAAGCGCAUGCAGGCGGAUCGCUAAGUCGGGGGUGAAAGCCCGAGGCUCAACCUCGGAACUGCCUUCGAUACUGGCGAUCUUGAGUCCGGGAGAGGUGAGUGGAACUCCGAGUGUAGAGGUGAAAUUCGUAGAUAUUCGGAAGAACACCAGUGGCGAAGGCGGCUCACUGGCCCGGUACUGACGCUGAGAUGCGAAAGCGUGGGGAGCAAACAGGAUUAGAAACCCCAGUAGUCC
rnacentral:rRNA from 1 species